UGUUCGCACUCUUGCACCAACCUAAAUCAAAUACAGCAGGCUGAUAAGAUUUGACUCGCUUAAUUUCUGUUGAUGAAAGACGGGAAAAAUGCACUUGCGAUUUCAGAAAAUCUCCCUUCUGUUGUUUCUCUUGCAAGCAUGGAAGUCAACUUCGGCACAGACAACUGCACCUGAGCAACCAGACCCAGAGGAAUACUGGAGAGGCUGGCAGACAGAGCUGGGCAAGCCAAAGCUCGAAUCCAGUCCAUUGGAGAGACCGUGCUUGGCUUCGCAAGCGCUUAUUACGAAGACCACAUACAACCAGUGGCUGGAGGCUAUGUUAAGUGGGCCUCUAAAAUAAGAAGUUCGCUAUGGGAGAAGUUCCAGAAAGCCUCUGACAACUACGUGCCACCUACUCAUCAAGCACCUGAAAAUUAAAGAAACAGAAAAAAAAAUUGCUUUAUCAGUUUUUACUUUCACUACUUCACUUUUAAUUUCCUGCUGAUGAAUGAAAAGAAUGAUGACAUAAUCAAAUAAAAUGUAAUUAAAACAA